rnacentral:rRNA from 1 species
GAUGAACGCUGGCGGCGUGCCUAAUACAUGCAAGUCGAGCGAACGGACGAGAAGCUUGCUUCUCUGAUGUUAGCGGCGGACGGGUGAGUAACACGUGGAUAACCUACCUAUAGACUGGGAUAACUUCGGGAAACCGUAGCUAAUACCGGAUAAUAUUUUGAACCGCCUGGGUCCAAAGUGAAAGACGGUCUUGCUGUCACUUAUAGAUGGAUCCGCGCUGCAUUAGCUAGUUGGUAAGGUAACGGCUUACCAAGGCAACGAUGCAUAGCCGACCUGAGAGGGUGAUCGGCCACACUGGAACUGAGACACGGUCCAGACUCCUACGGGAGGCAGCAGUAGGGAAUCUUCCGCAAUGGGCGAAAGCCUGACGGAGCAACGCCGCGUGAGUGAUGAAGGUCUUCGGAUCGUAAAACUCUGUUAUUAGGGAAGAACAUAUGUGUAAGUAACUGUGCACAUCUGGACGGUUCCUAAGCAGAAAGCCACGGCUAACUACGU